rnacentral:rRNA from 1 species
AUUGAACGCUGGCGGCAGGCCUAACACAUGCAAGUCGAGCGAGAAAGGCCUUCGGGCUGAGUACAGCGGCGGACGGGUGAGUAACGCGUAGGAAUCUACCUGGUAGUGGGGGACAACAUGGGGAAACUCAUGCUAAUACCGCAUACGCCCUAUGGGGGAAAGCGGGGGACCUUCGGGCCUCGCGCUAUCAGAUGAGCCUGCGUAGGAUUAGCUUGUUGGUGAGGUAAAGGCUCACCAAGGCGACGAUCCUUAGCUGGUCUGAGAGGAUGAUCAGCCACACUGGGACUGAGACACGGCCCAGACUCCUACGGGAGGCAGCAGUGGGGAAUAUUGCGCAAUGGGCGAAAGCCUGACGCAGCCAUGCCGCGUGUGUGAAGAAGGCCUUAGGGUUGUAAAGCACUUUCAAUUGGGAAGAGAGGUUGUACGUUAAUAGCGUGCAGCUGUGACGUUACCUUUAGAAGAAGCACCGGCUAACUCCGUGCCAG